UACGGGAGGCAGCAGUGGGGAAUAUUGCACAAUGGGCGAAAGCCUGAUGCAGCUAUGCCGCGUGUAUGAAGAAGGCCUUAGGGUUGUAAAGUACUUUCAUCGGGGAGGAAAAAACAAAACUAAUAAUUUUAUUUCUUGACGUUACCCGAAAAAGAAGCACCGGCUAACUCCGUGCCAGCAGCCGCGGUAAUACGGAGGGUGCUAGCGUUAAUUAGAAUUACUGGGCGUAAAAGAGCACGUAGGUGGUUUUUUUUAAAGUCAGAUGUGAAAAUCCCCUGGGCUUAAACCCUAGGAACUGCAUUUUGAAACUGAAAUACUAGAGUAUCGUAGAGGGAGGUAGAAUUCUAGGUGUAGCGGUGAAAUGCGUAGAUAUCUGGAGGAAUACCUGUGGCGAAAGCGGCCUCCUAAACGAAUACUGACACUGAGGGUGCGAAAGCGUGGGGAGCAAAACAGGGAUUAGAUACC
rnacentral:rRNA from 1 species